GAACUGUUAGCUUUGGCUAACCUUUGGUUCUGGCUAAGCUUUGGCUAAACGGUCUCAACAGAAAACCAAUAAAAAUAUUGAACAUAAAACAAAGUGAAUUGAAAUAUCUUAGUAACUUUAGGAAAAUAAAUCAACCGAGAUUCUAUAAGUAAUGUGAAUGAAAGUAGAUUAGUCAUAAAGUAAAAAGGGUGAUUCUUUUUGAAUACAGGGGAACCUUCCUCUAAGGCUAAAUAUAAUAUAUAAGCGAUAGUGAACAAGUACCGUGAGGGAAAUUACAAAAAUAAUAAUUUUAUAAGCAGCUCGAUUUAAUAACAAAAAAAAGAGUGUACCUUUUGUAUAAUGGGUCAGCAAGUUCUAAUUAGAUGCAAGCAGACAAAUAGACUAAAAUAAAUUUAUUACUGGUGUUUUUUUUAUAUUUUUGGUUUAUACAUGUUUGGUGUUUUAAUGUAUAUAUAGAACUUAUAAAGAUACAUUUUAGUUUAAUUUUUUUUUAUAUAUUUUACAUGCCUAGAUAAACCAGUUAUUAAAUAAUGAUUAGUAUCUAAUUAGAGACCCGAAGGAUAGUGAUCUUACCGUGAUCAGGCUAAAGGCCGAAUGGGUUAUCGUUGUAGAGAUAUCCAAUGAAUUACGGUAAGUUAGUGAAAGACAAAUCUGACUAUCUAUAGCUGGUUUUCCGCGAAACAUAUUUAAGUAUGUGGUUUAAAUAACAUCAUAGCAGGUACAGAAUUGUGAUCUCGGACAAAUUUUAAUUUAUGUUAUCAUAUAGAAAUUUUUCUAUUUUGAUAACAUAUCUUGUGUACAUUGGGGGGUCGUGAAGACUUUAUCAGCGAAUAUUUGCUCUCGGAAGGGUAAUGAUGGAUUUUGAACUAUCAGACUUAUAACGCUAAGGUUGAUUAAGAAUAAGCAUCUUAAAUAUAUAACAGCCUACAAGUAGAAGUGAACCUUCUGCUAUAAACUUUCAAAAUGACGGGAAAGCCCUAAAGAAAUUUUAACCAAGUAGAUAUGGUAACAUAAUCUAUGGCACAGGUAAUGACUCGUGGUAUGGUAAAAUAAAAAUUUAUGUAUUAUUAAUUAUAAUUAAAUGGGUAAUCCGCAGCCAAGCACCAUAUAGUUUAUGGUGUGCAGUACAUCGACUAAAAGUAAGUUGGCGCAAGCUUAAGAUAUAGUCAGGCCCCAUUUGAAAAAAUGCAUUGGCAAAAAAUAAUUUAAUUUUAGUUUUAUUAUUUGCUUUAAAAUAUCUCAAUUUAUAGCCUCAAAAAAAAAACAAAUACAAAACAAAAAAAAACAAAAAAAAAACAAUUUUCAUUAGGCUUAAUCUUAUUUAAAAUAUUGGAAAGACUAAAGAAAUAUCUACAGAUGAUUAUUUAGAAAGUUUUCCAUCAAUAUUUGAUGAUGUAGAUUAAAUUAUUUUUUUUUAGUUAUAGCUAAAAAUUUUUUUUUAGUUAUAGCUAAAAAUUUUCUUAUAAAAAAAAAAGAAAAUGUCUAAAUGGAUAGAUAUAAUCUGUUCAGGGAUAAAUGUACUUAGCUUUGUUUAGAAAUAAACUAAAAAGUACAUCCGUGUAAGUCUAAAGGGAAACAGCCCAGAACAAGUGUUUAAGGUUCCAAAGUUAUUAUUAAGUGAAAAUAAGGAAGUACUUAUGUUAUUCUAUUAGGAAAUAGGCUUAGAAGCGGCCACUUUUUGAAGAUCUCGUAACAGAGCACUAAUUCAAUAUUAAUAAUUAUUAAUGACAGUAGAAGCGCCGAAAAUAUAACGGAUCUAAAUAAUACACCGAAACCUUGUCCAUAUUUAACUAUAUAUUGUAGGUUUAUAGUAAAAUUAAAUUUAUUAUAUGUUUAUAAUUUAUUAUGUAGUAUUUAUGGGGUAGCGGAACAUUGAGUAAAUAAAUAUUUUUAUGUUUUUAAUAUAAUAUUAAUAUCUCAAGUGAUAAUGCUGACAUGAGUAACGAAAAAAUAGCUAUUCUGAAAUGAAAGAUACGUUAUUGAUUUAAUGUAUUAAGUAAUAAAGUUUAUGCUAUCACCUUAAGCUUAUGGUUAUCUAUUAUAUUCGGUAUCUAAGUCUAAUUCUAAAGAAUAAUAAGAUGAUGAUUAUGUGGUUAGUAGAUAGGCAGUAAUUUGAGUCUAGUGAGACAUACCAAAUUACAUAGCAUUCACGUUAUCGUUUACGUUAACGUGAGUGUUAUCAUUUACGUUAACACUUACUAUAUAUAGUAGGUGUUCAAGAAAAAAUUAGCCAUGGAUUUAUUCCUAACCGUACCUAGAUACUAACUCGAGUAAGCAAGUAGAGAAUACAAAGGUGUUUGAGCUAAUAAUCAUUAAGGAACUCGGCAAAAUGAUACCGUAACUGCGGGAGAAGGUAUGCCAUAAUUUUUUAUUUUAAACUUAUACUGUUUAAAUUUAAAAGUUAGAGGAGACAUAAAAUGGUGUUGCACGACUGUUUAAUUAAAACAAAGCACUCUGCAUAAGAUGAAAAUCUAAGUACUGAGUGUGCUAUCUGCCCUAUAAUGACUGGUUAACGACUACAUUUUUAGACUUUUGUUAACGAGGUAGACCCACGUUUUUUUAAUUAAAAAAAAAUUAAUAUUUAAAUUAAAAAAAAAAGAGAGAGAUACCUCUUUCUUUUAGGUAAUUCAUAUUUAACAUAAGCUAGAUUUUAAAGGAACCCACUAUUGAAUGGCGGCCUUAUCUAUGAGGGUCCUAAGGUAGCGAAAUACCUUGGCAUUUAAAUGAUGUCGCGCAUGAAUGAUCUCACGAUGCAACAGCUGUCUCAAUGAUUAGCUCAGUGAAAUUGGUCGUUUAAUAAGACUUAAUAACGAUUUUCAUAUUUACUUUUAAGGUUUAAUGGCAUAAUCUUACUUUACUGUUUGACUUACAUGUCUAUCAGUUGUGUAAGCAGGGCAUAAGGAUCGCAAGAUGCUGUAGGGAAAGGUCUUGUAUUAUU
rnacentral:rRNA from 1 species